ensembl:lncRNA
AUUGAGGAUAGCUUAUAUAUUUGCAAAUUGACAGUUAUGCUGUUGUUGUAUCUUGAAUAGAGAAAGUACUUCUAAGAUUAAAAACCUCUAUGCCACGUCUUGUAUUAAGCAUACUUGCAGCUCUUGCUAUGUACUGUAAAUGCCUUCUUGCUUCUUACGAAACUUGUGGGUACAUUCUCUAGACACAGAUCAAGUCUAGCCCUGGACUUGAAAUACAUUUCAGUGUGGAAGGCAUGUGACAUUGUGGUGCUGUGGAUGUUAUGAUGUGUUCAUAAAGACAGGGCGCUGCUUAGAUUUCUCACCAGCACUCUCAUUUUUGAAAGGAUUACGGUGCAUGAAAGCAUCUGAGAACUGCCUCUUUGUUAUCAGACUGUUUGUCUGACAAUCUGGAGUUUAGAUUUAGAUAAAGUUUUUGAGCUUAAGUGAACAUACUUGGGUUGAAAGUCAUCGUGGAUUGUGAUGAUGGUCGAAUCCCCAAAGAGUUACAUAUUAGCUGUGUUUAAGCUGAAGUUUAAAACGUGAACAAAAACAUGUUUGGUGUCUAUAGGUGAUAAGAAUGUGGUCCCCUCUUGUCCCGAUAAUUACACAAGUCUGUUUUAGAUGGCUUUAGCCUAACUUGUGCAUGUGUGCUCCUGUCCUAAACCAGUGAAGAUAAAACAACAUAACUGAUUGGUACCUAAAUAAAAAAGUUAUGAAAUCUGAGAUGAGACUGCUAGGUUUAUUUAUUUAUGCCUGUUUUGUGAAGAAGAGUAAAGGAAAAAUCUAGAAAGCUAGGAUGAAAGAGUUUCACAUAUGGUCUUUUUUUAUUUUAUUUUUCAUUUUUUAAAAAGAAAAAAGUUAAUACAUAGUUUAAAAUUUUGUGAUGUCAAAUUGUGUAUUCAGUUUCUGAUUGUGGUUUGAAAUCUUCUCGCUCUUCACUUUGUUGCCAUGUUGAAAUGCCAGGUUUUUACUGGCAUUUCAUGGUGGUUGUGCCGAGUGAUAUUUCAUAUAAGAUUGUCAAUGGAAAAUCAGCUAAAUUAAUAUAGAACUGCGAAUGAAUGAGUGGUCUGAGGAAGAUAACCAUUUUACUGCAAUUUAACUGAAUGGGAGACACAUUUGUAAUGAUAAAAAUACUUGCUUUGAUCAGCUAAUCCAAUUGUUGAUUAUAUUAUCUGCAGAAAUAAAACUUUUAGUUAAACAAAG